ensembl:snRNA U6 U6 spliceosomal RNA
GCACUCACUUUGGCAGCACAUAUACUGAAAUUGGAAUGUACAGAGAAGAGAAGCGUGGCCCCUGUGCAAGUAUGACACGCAAAUUCAUUAAGCAUAAAUUUUUUUG